rnacentral:rRNA from 1 species
AUUGAACGCUGGCGGCAUGCCUUACACAUGCAAGUCGAACGGCAGCACGGGGGCAACCCUGGUGGCGAGUGGCGAACGGGUGAGUAAUACAUCGGAACGUGCCCAGUAGUGGGGGGAUAGCCCGGCGAAAGCCGGAUUAAUACCGCAUACGACUUACGGGUGAAAGCGGGGGAUCGCAAGACCUCGCGCUAUCGGAGCGGCCGAUGUCAGAUUAGGUUGUUGGUGGGGUAAAAGCCCACCAAGCCGACGAUCUGUAGCUGGUCUGAGAGGACGACCAGCCACACUGGGACUGAGACACGGCCCAGACUCCUACGGGAGGCAGCAGUGGGGAAUUUUGGACAAUGGGCGCAAGCCUGAUCCAGCCAUGCCGCGUGCGGGAA